AGCGAACGCUGGCGGCAGGCCUAACACAUGCAAGUCGAACGAAGUCUUCGGACUUAGUGGCGAACGGGUGAGUAACACGUGGGAACGUACCUUUUGGUUCGGAACAACUCAGGGAAACUUGAGCUAAUACCGGAUGAGCCCUUAGGGGGAAAGAUUUAUCGCCGAAAGAGCGGCCCGCGUUAGAUUAGCUAGUUGGUGAGGUAAAGGCUCACCAAGGCUACGAUCUAUAGCUGGUCUGAGAGGAUGAUCAGCCACACUGGGACUGAGACACGGCCCAGACUCCUACGGGAGGCAGCAGUGGGGAAUCUGGCGCAAUGGGCGAAAGCCUGACGCAGCCAUGCCGCGUGAAUGAUGAAGGUCUUAGGAUUGUAAAAUUCUUUUACCAGGGACGAUAAUGACGGUACCUGGAGAAAAAGCCCCGGCUAACUUCGUGCCAGCAGCCGCGGUAACAC
rnacentral:rRNA from 1 species